GUGAGUAGUUCAGAGUUUGAUCCUGGCUCAGGACGAACGCUGGCGGCGUGCUUAACACAUGCAAGUCGAGCGGGGAGAUCACUUUCGGGUGAUCCUCUAGCGGCGGACGGGUGAGUAACGCGUGAGCAACCUUUCUCUCAGUGGGGAAUAACACCGGGAAACUGGUACUAAUACCGCAUGAGACCACAGAGUCGCAUGGCUUAGGGGUCAAAGAUUUAUUGCUGAGAGGUGGGCUCGCGUCUGAUUAGGUAGUUGGUGAGGUAACGGCCCACCAAGCCGACGAUCAGUAGCCGACCUGAGAGGGUGAUCGGCCACAUUGGGACUGAGACACGGCCCAA
rnacentral:rRNA from 1 species